rnacentral:rRNA from 1 species
UACCAGCACCCCGAGUGGUCGGGACGAUUAUUGGGCGUAAAGAGCUCGUAGGCGGUUUGUCGCGUCUGCUGUGAAAACCCGAGGCUCAACCUCGGGCCUGCAGUGGGUACGGGCAGACUAGAGUGCGGUAGGGGAGACUGGAAUUCCUGGUGUAGCGGUGAAAUGCGCAGAUAUCAGGAGGAACACCGGUGGCGAAGGCGGGUCUCUGGGCCGUAACUGACGCUGAGGAGCGAAAGCAUGGGGAGCGAACAGG